GUACAGGUUGGGUAAGCCCAGUCCGCCUCUGCCUGCAGAGGAGGUCAAUGUAGUGUAGGCAAUUCUCGCUGGUUUAUUGCCCCAUAUGUAUUUGGUAAAGCAUGUGCGUGUUUGCGCGAAGAAUGUACUCGGGAGUGGGAUAGGCAGUGCCUGGAAGAGGUAUAGUAGUUUCGGGAGGACCAUCAUCUUGAUGAUGUUGAUCCGCCCUAUCAAAGAGAAGUGGGGUAGAUCCCAUUUUAGGAGGUCCCGUUUGAUGCCGUCUAGGAGGGG